rnacentral:rRNA from 1 species
CGUGUCUGCUUACGACCCGCUGGUUUGUGCGGCCGGCGUAUGGGUCUUCCCUAUGCAUAUGGGGCUGGCGGCGGGCGAUCUACCUCGAACAAAUGAGAGCGCUUGAGGUAGGCGAAUCAUCAGCCUGAAUCUAUUAGCAUGGAAUAACACAUGGACGGUGGUGUCUGUGUUGUUGGUUUGAGACGCUGCUGUAAUGAUUAAUAGGGGUACUCGGGGCCAACCGGACUCUUGGGAUAGAGGUGAAAUUCUGUGACCCCAGGAAGACGAACUAAUGCGAAAGCAGUUGGCAAGGGUAUCUUCAUUGGUCAAGCACUAAGGUCGGGGGAGCGAAGACGAUUAGACACCGUUGUAGUCCCGACAGUAAACGAUGCCGACGCGACCCCUGGUGCCGAGGAUCACGGCGCUGGGGGGCGUAUCGAAAGUAGAGUCUUUGGGCUCUGGGGGGAGUAUAGUCGCAAGUCUGAAACUUAAAGGAAUUGACGGAAGGGCACAACCAGGCGUGGAGCCUGCGGCUUAAUUUGACUCAACACGGGGAAGCUCACCAGGUCAGGACAUGACAAGGAUUGACAGACUGAUAGAUCUUUCAUGAUCUCAUGGGUGGUGGUGCAUGGGCCGUUCUUAGUUCGUGGAUUGGUCUGUCUGGUUGAUUCCGAUAACGAGCGAGACCAAGACCGGGGGUUGAUGUUGUAAUUGUACUGCCGAACGCCUUUAAGCGGUAUCGGAGGUUGC